AUUGAACGCUGGCGGCAGGCUUAACACAUGCAAGUCGAGCGGAGUGAUGGUGCUUGCACUAUCACUUAGCGGCGGACGGGUGAGUAAUGCUUAGGAAUCUGCCAUUUAGUGGGGGACAACAUUCCGAAAGGAAUGCUAAUACCGCAUACGUCCUACGGGAGAAAGCAGGGGAUCUUCGGACCUUGCGCUAAAUGAUGAGCCUAAGUCGGAUUAGCUAGUUGGUGGGGUAAAGGCCUACCAAGGCGACGAUCUGUAGCGGGUCUGAGAGGAUGAUCCGCCACACUGGGACUGAGACACGGCCCAGACUCCUACGGGAGGCAGCAGUGGGGAAUAUUGGACAAUGGGCGGAAGCCUGAUCCAGCCAUGCCGCGUGUGUGAAGAAGGCCUUUCGGUUGUAAAGCACUUUAAGCGAGGAGGAGGCUCUUCUAGUUAAUACCUAGGAUGAGUGGACGUUACUCGCAGAAUAAGCACCGGCUAACUCUGUGCCAGCAGCCGCCGUAAUAC
rnacentral:rRNA from 1 species